CUACUGCGGAGGACAUUAUGAUUUUGAACGGGUUGUAGCUGGCCUUACGGGGCAUUUUGUGCACGCCCUGCUCAUUUGUCCCCAUCUCACACCUGUGCACACUCUGUAGGAUGGUUAUAGCAGUGAAGCCUUCAGUGGUUUUGCUAUGCGUAGCCUUCCUAUGUUUUAUCACACACUACUCAGUUUAAAGAAUGUCCUUUGCGUCUAACGCAUUUAAAUACAACUUUCAGCAACGGAUCUCUUGGCUCUCGCAUCGAUGAAGAACGCAGCGAAAUGCGAUAAGUAAUGUGAAUUGCAGAAUUCAGUGAAUCAUCGAAUCUUUGAACGCACCUUGCGCUCCUUGGUAUUCCGAGGAGCAUGCCUGUUUGAGUGUCAUGAAAUUCUCAACUCCCUUUCACUUGUGAACAUGGGAUGUUGGAUGUGGAGGUUUUUGCUGGAUGCUCUUAUGUAUUCAGCUCCUCUUGAAUGCAUUAGCUUGAACCUUUUGUGGAUCAGCUUCGGUGUGAUAAUUGUCUACGCCGUUCUGUGAAGCAAUAUAUAUGUUAGAGCUUCCAACCGUGUCCUGUACACAAUUCUUGACCUUUGACCUCAAAUCAGGUAGGAUUACCCGCUGAACUUAAGCAUAUCAAAA
rnacentral:rRNA from 1 species